rnacentral:rRNA from 1 species
UAGUGGCGAACGGGUGAGUAACACGUGGGCAAUCUGCCCUUCACUCUGGGACAAGCCCUGGAAACGGGGUCUAAUACCGGAUAACACUGCGGAUCUCAUGGUCUGCGGUUAAAAGCUCCGGCGGUGAAGGAUGAGCCCGCGGCCUAUCAGCUUGUUGGUGAGGUAAUGGCUCACCAAGGCGACGACGGGUAGCCGGCCUGAGAGGGCGACCGGCCACACUGGGACUGAGACACGGCCCAGACUCCUACGGGAGGCAGCAGUGGGGAAUAUUGCACAAUGGGCGAAAGCCUGAUGCAGCGACGCCGCGUGAGGGAUGACGGCCUUCGGGUUGUAAACCUCUUUCAGCAGGGAAGAAGCGAAAGUGACGGUACCUGCAGAAGAAGCGCCGGCUAACUACGUGCCAGCAGCCGCGGUAAUACGUAGGGCGCAAGCGUUGUCCGGAAUUAUUGGGCGUAAAGAGCU